rnacentral:rRNA from 1 species
GACGAACGCUGGCGGCGUGCUUAACACAUGCAAGUCGUACGGUAACGCACUUUCGGGUGUACACGAGUGGCGAACGGGUGAGUAACACGGGAGUAACCUGCCCACAACUUUGGGAUAACGCUAGGAAACUAGUGCUAAUACUGGAUAUGUGCUCCUGCUGCAUGGUGGGGGUUGGAAAGCUCCGGCGGUUAUGGGUGGACUCACGGCCUAUUAGCUUGUUGGUGGGGUAGUCGCCUACAAAGGCGGCGACGGGGCGCCGGCCUGAGAGGGUGACCGGCCACCUUGACACUUAGGUACGGCCCAGACUCCUACGGGUGGCAGCAGUGGGGAAUAUUGCACAAUGGGCGCCAGCCUGAUGCAGCAGCGCCGCGGGCUGGAUGACGGCCUUCUGGUUGUAGACCGCCUUCAGCAGAAACGAAGCUUUUUGUGACGGUACCUGCAGAAGAAGCACCGGCUAACUACGUG